rnacentral:rRNA from 1 species
UGGUCUUGACAUACACGGAACUUUCCAGAGAUGGAUUGGUGCCUUCGGGAACCGUGAUACAGGUGCUGCAUGGCUGUCGUCAGCUCGUGUCGUGAGAUGUUGGGUUAAGUCCCGCAACGAGCGCAACCCUCGUCCUUAGUUGCUAACAGGUUAAGCUGAGAACUCUAAGGAGACUGCCAUCGUAAGGUGGAGGAAGGUGAGGACGACGUCAAGUCAUCAUGGCCCUUAUGGCUAGGGCUACACACGUGCUACAAUGGUACAUACAGAGAGAUGCGAUACAGUGAUGUGGAGCGAAUCUUAGAAAAUGUAUCCCAGUUCGGAUUAUAGUCUGCAAUUCGACUAUAUGAAGUUGGAAUCGCUAGUAAUCGUAGAUCAGCAAUGCUACGGUGAAUACGUUCCGCGGGUACU